rnacentral:lncRNA from 1 species
CGGGCGUGUCGGUGACGCGCGGGACGGACGGGACGUGCGGGACGCAGCAGCGUGGCGUGUGUGUAUGGGCAGUGUAUGAACCAUGUGUGUAUGCGUGUGUGCGCAUGUAUGUGUGUGGUGUAGUGGCCACGGUAAACAGGCUAGGCUGUUGAUCCGUUGCGAGCCGGACGCGGCGUGCGCGUUGAGCACGUCGUGGGCAUGCGGAUAGCACCCGUGCAUGCAGCAGGGUGGAGUGGGCUGCGUCUUGGUGGAAGCGUGGGCGGUGCGUUUGCUGCUAAGACUAUAAAGCCGGCUGUAAUCCUGUGUAUCGUGGGGGAAGUGCUAGCCAGUUUGAUAUAAAAGAAAAGGCUGUACGUGCGGCCGGAAAAAAAACUGUGCGUCUUCUACCUCCAGCUACGAGAGAGAGAGCUGCAACAACAAUUGGUAUACAGAGCUUCGGUUCGGGCGAUCACCGGCGACCAUGGCGCUCGUCCCACACGGCGGUGGCGCGGGCGGAUCGGCGACGAUGGCGAUGCCGAUGCUGACCGCGGACAACUACACGGUCUGGGCCAUCAAGGCGCAGGCGAUCCUCGACGUCCACACCGUAUGGGAGGCGGUGGCGCCGGGCGACGCGGCAGUGAACGCGCGGAAGGACAAGAUGGCGCGUGCGUUGCUUCUCGGGGCGUUGCCGGAGGAUGUGCUGCUGCAGGUGUCGACGAAGCUCACCGCCAGGGAGGUAUGGGACUCCCUGAAGGUGAGGUUCGUCGGCGCCGAUCGGGUCCGUGCGGCAAGGCUGGGGACGCUGCGCGGCGAAUUCGACCGGAUGAAGAUGGCGGACGGCGAGGAGCUCGAUGUGUACGGCGGGAGGCUCGCGGCGAUGGCGGCGAGGUAUGCCAACCUCGGGGAGACGCUGGGCGACGCAGCACUUGUCAAGAAGUUGCUGGAUACGGUGCCGGAUCGCCUCUUCCCCGUCGUCGCCGGCAUCGAGCAGUUCCACGACGUGACGACGAUGGCGUUCGACGAAGCGCUCGGGCGGCUGCGUGCGUUCGACGAGCGGGUUCGGCGCCGUGGACAAGACGGUGGCGAGCGCGGGGGUGAGCAGCUGCUCAUGACGGCGGCGCAGUGGGCAGCGCGGGAGCGUCGACACGGCGGUGCUCGGGACGACGACGACGGGCGCAGCGUGGCGUCGGGGAGCGGCGGCAACAGGCGCAGGCGCUGCUACAAGUGCGGGGAGCACGGGCACUUCCGGCGCGAGUGUCCGCAGCUGCGGAAAGGACCGGCGGCGGAGCAGGCUCUCUUGGCCGGUGCCAACGUCGACGACGACGGACUCCUCUAGGCCGUGGCUUAGGGGGUGUGUGUUGGAAUAAGCCACGGCGUGUGUGGUCGGGUUCGUCGGGCGCGUCGGGUGCGCGCGGGACGGGCGGGACAUACUGGUGCCGUCGGGCUCGUCGGGUUUGUCGGGCGUGUCGGUGACGCGCGGGACGGACGGGACGUGCGGGACGCAGCAGCGUGGCGUGUGUGUAUGGGCAGUGUAUGAACCAUGUGUGUAUGCGUGUGUGCGCAUGUAUGUGUGUGGUGUAGUGGCCACGGUAAACAGGCUAGGCUGUUGAUCCGUUGCGAGCCGGACGCGGCGUGCGCGUUGAGCACGUCGUGGGCAUGCGGAUAGCACCCGUGCAUGCAGCAGGGUGGAGUGGGCUGCGUCUUGGUGGAAGCGUGGGCGGUGCGUUUGCUGCUAAGACUAUAAAGCCGGCUGUAAUCCUGUGUAUCGUGGGGGAAGUGCUAGCCAGUUUGAUAUAAAAGAAAAGGCUGUACGUGCGGCCGGAAAAAAAACUGUGCGUCUUCUACCUCCAGCUACGAGAGAGAGAGC